AGUGAACGCUGGCGGUAGGCCUAACACAUGCAAGUCGAACGGCAGCACAGUAAGAGCUUGCUCUUACGGGUGGCGAGUGGCGGACGGGUGAGGAAUACAUCGGAAUCUACUUUUUCGUGGGGGAUAACGUAGGGAAACUUACGCUAAUACCGCAUACGACCUACGGGUGGAAGCAGGGGAUCUUCGGACCUUGCGCGAUUGAAUGAGCCGAUGUCGGAUUAGCUAGUUGGCGGGGUAAAGGCCCACCAAGGCGACGAUCCGUAGCUGGUCUGAGAGGAUGAGCAGCCACACUGGAAUUGAGACACGGUCCCGACUCCUCCGGGAGGCGCCAGUGGGGAGUAUUGGACAAUGUGCGCAAGCCUCAUCCAGACAUACCGCGUGGGUGAGGAGGGCCUUCGGGUUUUAAAGCCCUUUUGUUGGGAAAGAAAAGCGGCAGGUUAAAACCCCGCUGUUCUGACGGUACCCAAAGAAUAAGCACCGGCUAACUUCGUG
rnacentral:rRNA from 1 species